CUUGCAGGCUGGUCUAGCCCAAAGGCUGAAUUACUAACCCACACUGCAGAGCUCAGGUUGUGCUGUCUUUCUUCUAGGUUUAGGUCCUUAGAGACCGUUAAGGAGUUCCCACCUAUACUACCCCGCUUUAGGGAAUGCUUGCAAGGCCAGGGCAGGGGAUGCGUUGAUGCCGCUGAUCUGCCCUUUCGUGUUCGUCGGCUGCAUCCGAAGUGUCUGUCUCUCCUAUGAGGAAUCUGAGGGCAAAGAGAAUAACUUGGUGUCCCAUCACACUCUGGGAGUCGGAAGACAGUACUAACACCAUGUGUUCUGGCUGCUUUUCUCUUUCCACUCAGCUUCGUGUUUUCUCCCUACCGGAAAUCUGAUGGGCUUAUGACAUCAUGGCUGGCUGCUGAGCGAUGGAGUGGAUGCCACAAAGAAAUCCGACAUAUCCGAUGGAUUCAGAAAUCACUUUCCCUCCUGCGGCUGGAGGAACAGGCAUGUGCAGGCAGGAGAACCUGAGCUUUGUUUGAAAAAUUAUUAAAAAAAAAAAAAAACACAAAAAAAAAAACGAAACAAAAAGCAACCAAACCAAGUCUUGCCUGGCAUUAAAGGCAAUUUUCUUAAAGACAAGCAAAAGGUUUGGCCAUCGUCCUCUUUUAAU
rnacentral:lncRNA from 1 species